GGUGUGUGUGUGUGCCAGUGGAUCCAUGUUUCGUUGACGCAGCUUAUGCAGAAAAUCCUUCGGAUUAGGCUUAAACAGCAACAAACACUGUUGUUGUUGUUUCAACUAUUUGAAUUCAUUGCUUCGAAUCACCGUUAGAUAUUGCUUUUUCCGAAUUCGUCUAAAAUCUAUGGACACGCCGCUUCCACAUGCCGUCAAAACAAAACUUCGAGUCUGAUUCGGCAGACAGUAGUCGUCUAUGAUGGAACAAUUUGAGUGGGAAUAUGGAUAGGAGGUCAUUGCCCAAUAGCAAGUAUAUCUUGUGAUAAUUCAGCUAUCAGGCGGUGAGGUUAAGUAUUUGCUGGGCCAUCCUCGUACGCAUAUAUGUAUGCCGCUAUGUAUGUAUGUAUAUUUACUUACGAUAUUUAUUUUUGUAAUGAAAUGCUUGGUGGCGUUGCUUCUUUUUACAUAUUUUCAGGGUCAGCAAUAAAUCAUUGAACUCGAAUAAAAAAUCACUGACGAAUUCUCACCUCAUAUUUUUGAAAUGGUAUCGAAUUAUUUUGUAUGUUAACAGUAUAUGCAUAACUAAAUGUAUAUAUGUACAUAUAUGACUUACAUACAUACAUAUAUACUAGUAUUUACAUUAAUCUGAGUGGUCGCAAAGUGGCAUGACUUGAUUUACGUGCCCGUCCGUUGGCCUGUUCGCCUGACUGUUUGAUUAGGCUUGUAUAAUUUCACUGCUAGUUUGCGCGUGCAUGCUUAUUCGGGAAGUCAACACAUAAUUUAUAGAACAAAUAAAAUAUAAAAUUUAAUUAAAGCGCAACUAAAACCGAAAUAUAGCUUAUGUUAAACGAAAAAACGCCAAAGCGUGGCACGAGCAACUUUUAAACGUACAUUUAGCAUAAGUAUAUAUACCUAUAUACAUAUUUACAUAAGCACAUCCACGCAUGUAUCUAAAUGUUUGCAAGUCAAGAGCAUGCGUCCAAAAUUCUGCUGUCAUCACAUUUUCAUGUCGCUGACACCCAGAAGAUUGCCGAGCAAGCCUUUUGAUUAACGUUUUUCAAUGGACUACACGAGUGACCAUGCGGCGAACAUGUCGGCAGUUUUUUCACCAAUUCAGUUUGUUUUCGAUUAAAAGAUAACAGAAAAAUAUUUGCUUCAAAAUAUUUAAACAUUCUGAAUGAAAUAAUUUAAGUGGGAAUAUGGUUAGCAGGUCAUUGCCCAAAAGAGACGUCAAAUAUAAUCCGAAAUAUUUGGGCAAAAUUCACAUAUCAAACAAACUAAGCGAAAAUGUGGAGCGAUAACAUAAUUUUUUGGUGUUAAUCUUAAUACACAGAUCUAAUUUGAUACCAUACAUAUAUCUCACUUAAUAACUGAUAUACCAUAUAGAAUAAGGGUCAAGCGAAGCAUACUUUGAUCGAUUUAUGGAAAGAAGUACGUAGGUCAGGAUGAAAUAAAAAAGAGGGUUUCAAAAGAGUUUUAAUCGUUAUUGUCUGGAAAUAAUUCGAUGAGCAUUGCAACUUCACUUACUCUGCGACGCCUAUUGUCUAAUUUGAACGUUAUUCAUAUGGAGAACCCUUAAAGAGUAUAUGAUGACUUGCAAAUAAUUGGACCGUAUUUUGUGGAACUCAAACCUCAAAAAAUAUGCUCGCAGGAAAAAAAUUUUACGAUAGAAAUCGUCGAUCGGUCUUGAUCAACAUAAUCAAAGACUGGAUUCAUAGGUACAUAUAUUAUAUUAUAUAAAUCUUUAAAUACCUCCGAUUUUGUACUUCCGUCAUAUUAAAAAUGUGAACUAGAUUUUUAUUACUUUCGUGAGUGAUACUGACUGUUUCAAGAUAAUACACAGUUCCAUUAUAAUAAAUAUUGGAAACACUGUAGAGCGUUAAAAAUAUUCGCCAAACUGAUUAUUCUUAAUCAAUGCCUCAUGGCCACAGCGAAAAUGUGUAGGUCCCGUGACGAUUUGUAUUACAGUUCGAACAUCACAAAACUCUUAUCAGACUAAUCCUUUGCUAUUUAUAAAAUGACAGCAUUAUUUAUUAUUAAGUGUAGUCUAUAUUGUUUUUGGCGGAUUUUUAUUCUCUAUUAUUAUUAAAGAGGCCGUUCAAUGGUAAUAAGAUUUUUAAAUAUAAAAACAAUGAGUAUUGAAACGGAGUAGAAUGGUAUGGGAGAAAAUAUGUUUAGCAAUGAUAAUUGAUGUUAUCUAUUGAUUAAAGUAUACAGUUAUUUAUGUAAGGCCCUAUAAAAUUGUUUUAGGUGUUUACUGGGUAGUCUCUCAGUUUUUGAGACACGCCCUUUUUUCUCCAAGAAGCUGCUCAUUUGUCGGAACCGCAGAUAUCGGACCACUGAAGCAUAUAGCUGCCCUACCAACUGACCGAUCAAAAGCAAUUCUUGGAUGAAAAAUUUUUUAUUUGUGAUUGAUAUUGUAGCUAACGUGUUGUCUUGUUUUUGUCAAAAAAUCUGAAAACCAGACACGAAGUACUUAACCUAUCAAUACCACCACCACAAACGAUUUACUGAAUUAUUGAUAAAAAUCGAUUAAAUGCUGUGAAGAACAAUUAAACGCUUUAAUAAAGAC